UGGCCCAUGUGGGGAUUGAACCAAAGACCUUUGCAUUAUUAGCAUGACACUCUAACCAACUGAGUUAAUGGGCC